rnacentral:rRNA from 1 species
GUUGGCAAUCGGGUUUCGAGUGUAAUCGCACAAGCGGGCUUGACUGCGAGGACGACGGUCCGGGCAGGGACGAAAGUCGGAGAUAGUGAUCCGGUGCCGGCGCACGGGCGCGGCAUCGCUCAACGGAUAAAAGGUACCCCGGGGAUAACAGGCUGAUCAUUCCCAAGAGUCCAUAUCGACGGGAUGGUUUGGCACCUCGAUGUCGGCUCGUCGCAUCCUGGGGCUGGAGCAGGUCCCAAGGGUUCGGCUGUUCGCCGAUUAAAGCGGCACGCGAGCUGGGUUCAGAACGUCGUGAGACAGUUUGGUCUCUAUCCUCUGCGCUCGUUGGAAUCCUGAGGAGGCCUGCCCAUAGUACGAGAGGACCUGGGUGGACGGACCUCUGGUAUGCCGGUUGUCGCGCCAGCGGCAUGGCCGGUUGGCUACGUUCGGGAGGGAUAACCGCUGAAAGCAUCUAAGCGGGAAGCCUGCUCCAAGAUUAGGAUUCCUUGACGUUCUUCGGAGCGUCCGAAGCCCGCAUGUUGAACACGUGUUCGAUAGGCCGGAGGUGGAAGCCCCGCGAGGGAUGGAGCCGACCGGUACUAACGGGCGAACGCGGCACACUC